GAGUAACGCGUGAGCAACUGCCUUUCAGAGGGGGAUAACAUUUGGAAACAGAUGCUAAUACCGCAUAAGAUUACAGUACCGCAUGAUACAGUGAUCAAAGGAGCAAUCCGCUGAAAGAUGGGCUCGCGUCCGAUUAGAUAGUUGGUGAGGUAACGGCUCACCAAGUCGACGAUCGGUAGCCGGACUGAGAGGUUGAACGGCCACAUUGGGACUGAGACACGGCCCAGACUCCUACGGGAGGCAGCAGUGGGGAAUAUUGCACAAUGGGCGAAAGCCUGAUGCAGCAACGCCGCGUGAGGGAAGACGGUUUUCGGAUUGUAAACCUCUGUUUUCGGUGACGAACAAAUGACGGUAACCGAGUAGGAAGCCACGGCUAACUACGUGCCAGCAGCCGCGGUAAUACGUAGGUGGCAAGCGUUAUCCGGAAUUACUGGGUGUAAAGGGAGCGCAGGCGGGAUAGCAAGUCAGCUGUGAAAACUAUGGGCUCAACCCAUAAACUGCAGUUGAAACUGUUAUUCUUGAGUGGAGUAGAGGCAAGCGGAAUUCCGAGUGUAGCGGUGAAAUGCGUAGAUAUUCGGAGGAACACCAGUGGCGAAGGCGGCUUGCUGGGCUCUAACUGACGCUGAGGCUCGAAAGUGUGGGGAGCAAACAGGAUUAGAUACCCUGGUAGUCCACACUGUAAACGAUGAUUGCUAGGUGUGGGGGGUCUGACCCCCUCCGUGCCGGAG
rnacentral:rRNA from 1 species